GACGAACGCUGGCGGCGUGCUUAACACAUGCAAGUCGAACGGAAAGGCCUUUUCGGAGGUACUCGAGUGGCGAACGGGUGAGUAACACGUGGGUGAUCUGCCCUGCACUCUGGGAUAAGCCUGGGAAACUGGGUCUAAUACCGGAUAGGACCGCACUUUAGUGUGUGUGGUGGAAAGUUUUUUCGGUGUAGGAUGAGCCCGCGGCCUAUCAGCUUGUUGGUGGGGUAAUGGCCUACCAAGGCGGCGACGGGUAGCCGGACUGAGAGGUUGGUCGGCCACAUUGGGACUGAGAUACGGCCCAGACUCCUACGGGAGGCAGCAGGGGGGAAGAUUGCACAAUGGGCGCAAGCCUGAUGCAGCGACGCCGCGUGGGGGAUGACGGCCUUCGGGUUGUAAACUCCUUUCGCCAGGGACGAAGCGUUUUGUGACGGUACCUGGAGAAGAAGCACCGGCUAACUACGUG
rnacentral:rRNA from 1 species